rnacentral:rRNA from 1 species
UGGGGAAUCUUGCACAAUGGGGGAAACCCUGAUGCAGCGACGCCGCGUGAACGAUGAAGCCCUUCGGGGUGUAAAGUUCUUUCGACAGGAACGAUAAUGACGGUACCUGGAGAAGAAGCCACGGCUAACUACGUGCCAGCAGCCGCGGUAAUACGUAGGUGGCAAGCGUUGUCCGGAUUUACUGGGCGUAAAGGAUGCGUAGGCGGAUACUUAAGUCAGAUGUGAAAAUCCCGGGCUUAACUUGGGAACUGCAUUUGAAACUGGGUAUCUAGAGUGCGGGAGAGGAAAGUGGAAUUCCUAGUGUAGCGGUGAAAUGCGUAGAGAUUAGGAAGAACACCAGGGGCGAAGGCGACUUUCUGGACCGUAACUGACGCUGAGGCAUGAAAGCGUGGGGAGCAAACA